GGAUGUGGGGGUUUUUUGCUGGCCUUUCUGAGGUCAGCUCCCCUGAAAUUCAUUAGCGGAACAAUUUGUUAACUGUUCAUUGGUGUGAUAACUAUCUACGCUAUUGACGGAAAGCAGUUCAGCUUCUAACAGUCCAUUGACUUGGACAAUCUUUUUAUUAAUGUGACCUCAAAUCAGGUAGGACUACCCGCUGAACUUAA
rnacentral:misc_RNA from 1 species